AUCUGUACGCACGUACAUAUAUUCUACUUAGACUGGUAUUCUGGAAUUUGUGAAAUCUCAGCUAUUUUCAAACCGAAUCCACCUUUACCUGAUUGUUAUUUGUCAGCAUUGGUGAGGGCUUGCUCUUAUUCUUCUCUGCCCCAUCAUUAGAACUUUCUUGAAAGAACAACUUUGCUGUACAAAGAGAAAUAAUUAUCCUCUUGUACUCUCUCCUGAAAUUCUGGUUCAAGAGUCCAUAAAUAAUAGCAUUAAGGCAACUGUUGAAAUAUGCCAUGUAAUAACUGCCAACAAACAAC